rnacentral:tRNA from 1 species
UUAGCUCAGUCGGUUAGAGCGCCGCUCUGAUAAGGCGGAGGUCCGUGGUUCGAAUCCACGA